CCUCUAGCAUAAAGUAUUAAAGGUCACGCCUGCCCAGUGAUAUAUUUUAAACGGCCGCGGGAUCCUCCACCGUGCAAAGGUAGCAUAAUCACUUGUCCCCUAAAUAGUGACUAGUAUGAAUGGCCAAAUGAAGAUUUAACUGUCUCUUAUAAUAGAUCUAUUAAAUUAAUCUCCCAGUACAAAAACUGGAAUAAAAACAUAAGACGAAAAGACCCUGUGGAACUUUAAGCUAAACUCAAUUUAAUGAAAAUAAAGCUUUUAGUUGGGGCAACUCUGGAAAAAAACAAAACUUCUAGCUACAUAAAUGAUAGACAUAUCUUACACCUCUUUUGACCCAGUCUUACUGAUUAAAGAACCAAGCUACCCCAGGGAUAACAGCGCUAUCCCCUCCGAGAGCCCAAAUCGACGAGUGGGGUUUACGACCUCGAUGUUGGAUCAGGGCCCCCAAACAGUGCAACAGCUGUUAAUGGUUUGUUUGUUCAACAAUUAAAGCCCUACGUGAUCUGAGU
rnacentral:rRNA from 1 species